rnacentral:lncRNA from 1 species
UAGAACUCAAAUUCCUAUGCUUCCUUGCAACUGGGUACAAGAAUGUUACUUAGAUUCUACCAGUCAGGCAUAUUCAUGUGAAACUUAAAAUUUGGGUAUAAAUAACCAGAAGAAACAGUCUCUGGGGCUUUCAGUUUUAUUGGUAUAAAUCAAGCAUAAGUAACUGGCUUUACUGGUUUUCAGUGGCUGCAAAAUUUUGUUUUUGAUGCAGAAGUGGCAUUAAUCUAGAGCUACAACAGAGACUCAUUGAGCUAGUUCUGCCAUGGUUUUGUUUAUUAUUCCUGGAGGCUUAGCCCCAGUUCUGAAUCAGUUCCAACAAUCCUGCAUUAGAACCUGCUGCAUUAGAAAGAAUCAGCAGCUUUUGAUUCCCACAAUCAAGGAUCCUUACUACAUAUGAUUGUGAGUCUUUUUCCCCUUAGCAGGCUACAAUCUCUGAGAUUAUUUACUAGAUACUUUCUGGAUGUUUGUUGGGCUGAUCUCACACAGUUUAUAGUCUGGUGGCAAAAUAAAUACAUAGACAAAUAUAGAAGAGUAUGGUAAGUGCUAUGGUGUAAUAAUAAGAAAGCUCACAUUGUCCUCUCUGGAAACCUAAUACAUUUCCCAUCAAAUAGAAGGCAUUCAAUUUAUGGAAUAAGUUUUGGGUGGAGAUAAAAAGCAGGAAAGCUCUGAUACCCUGCCACUUCAAUGGUGUUCUUCUUUUUUUUUGUCCAUCUUGUAUUUCCUGUAUGUCUGUGUCUUUGACUUAGAGUCACCUGAAGGUGGCUCCAUUGGAACCAUCAUUUAUUCAAUCAGUCAAUAAUUAAAAAUUAACUGAACACAUGAUAUGUACCAAGCACUAUGCUAGAUGCUGCAAAACAACAAUAAAGAACACAGAUCUCCUGGCUCAUUCAAGAGACCCCACUGAGUGGUUUAAAAGUGAGUGAGUCUCUGCUCAUGGACACAGAAGGUGAAAUGGUGGUUGCCAAAGGGUUAGGUAGGGGAGAAUGGAAAUUAUUUAAUAUGUAGAGUUUUAAUUUUGCAAAAUAAAAGUAAUUAUGGAGAUGGCUGAUGGUGAUGAUUAUACAACAAUGUAAAUAUACUCAACUGUACAUUCAAAAAUAGUUAAGAUGGGAAAUGUUAUUAUAACUAUUUACCAUAAUUUUAAAAAAUCUCCCCAGUAAGUUUAGAAAUAUUGAUAAAGGAGAAAGGUGAGUUGGUUUCCACAUGGAAACCAACUUUUGUUAUACAAAAGAUAAUACAAAAGAUUAUCCAAAAGAUAAAUGACUUCAUGUUUUCCUGGUGAAACUUGUUUAAAACCCACAGUAAAUUUUUAUUCACUGAAAAAGAAACAGGUGAUAGAUGAAGGUUCAUCUGGUUUGCUGUCUACAGACCUUCUACGAAUAAAUCAGACUUUUUGAUAAAUCAGUAUUUUCAUGAGGAAAGAAUCAGAAUCUGCCUGGCUUUGUGGUGGAGAUAGCUGCAAAUUAGGCACUGCUGUGGAAAGAUUUAACAAAAGAGUGUAAAUUGGCCUGUGUCCAUUACUCUGUUUCUGCCAAUUUUCUGUCAACUUCCAUUUUAGCAGAUUGACAACACAUUAUAAACUAUGAUUAAGUCCUCACAAUGAAAGCUGAUUGGUGGGUUUCUUCCCCCUUCCAGUACCUUGCUUCCUUUCAUCUGCAUUCUAGACCCCUAUAUUUCUUGUGUUUUUUUCCUUACCUCUCCUUUUAGUUUUCCCUUCUUGCCUCUUUCUUCAAACUAUAGCCAGAGUAUGAAUCUUGUUAAUUAAUCAAAAAGAAUUUACUGGGUAUCUAUUCUGUGUAGGAUUCUAGAUUGACACAAGAGUAAAGGUAGAAAUAAAAUGAGCAAAAGGCAAGUGAAGGUAAAAAUAAGACAAUAAGCAGAGAACAAUGAAGUCCUACACAAUUAGAUUUUCCUUUUGAAAUAAGGAGAUCAGAAAAGAAAGUUCUGGGUGGAGGACUGAAGUUUUAAAGGGCUGAUUUCUCAAAAAGGGAGUGGGGAGCUGAGUUAGAAUCCAAAGGAUUUGCCUGGUUGGGAGGUGGUGGUGGUUCUAGGCAGGAUUAUGCCCUGCUAUAAGGACAAUAGGAAGAGAAGAGAUCAGAGUUCACAAGUUUCAACUUGGGUGAGCAUAGGGAAGCCUCAUGGUCCUUCCCCUUGUUAAGACCCCAGUUAUUUAUCUGCUCUUCCUUUGACUCCUUUUGUUUCUUCUGUACUGGAGGCAAAAGGGACUCAGCCUAUUUUUCUUUCCUAUUUAAAGUCACUGCCACCUAUCCCAUCCUUUGGUGUUCUUAUUUCUUCAGCCUACACAUGGAGUUCAUUGCAAGUCCUCAGCCUUUCUUCCUUGCUGCCUCUGAACAUAAACACUUUGCAUAACAAGGAUUUCAUUGCUACUCAUGACAGAGAAGCUGGCAAAAGAUAAAAUAACUAUUGUAGGGAAGUUUAAAUUAAAAAAGAAAAAGAAAUAAAGUUGAUAUAGUCUUAGUCCCAGCUCAGUAUUUCCUGUCUCAUCUGGAAAGUGGAGCAAUAGGAUUUACCAUUCACUCAAAAAAGUUUGAGCAGCUGAUUUAUAUUUUUUUAAAAAGAUGGUACCAGUUGCUAUUGAAAGGACCAAAGGUAGAAAUAGGGAGAGCAGUGAGGAGGCUAUUG